UACAGAGGGUGCAAGCGUUAAUCGGAAUUACUGGGCGUAAAGCGCGCGUAGGUGGUUUGUUAAGUUGGAUGUGAAAGCCCCGGGCUCAACCUGGGAACUGCAUCCAAAACUGGCAAGCUAGAGUACGGUAGAGGGUGGUGGAAUUUCCUGUGUAGCGGUGAAAUGCGUAGAUAUAGGAAGGAACACCAGUGGCGAAGGCGACCACCUGGACUGAUACUGACACUGAGGUGCGAAAGCAUGGGGAGCGAACAGG
rnacentral:rRNA from 1 species